rnacentral:rRNA from 1 species
GAUGAACGCUGGCGGCGUGCUUAACACAUGCAAGUCGAGCGAAGCAAUUUGAAUGAGACUUCGGUGGAUUUUAAAUUGACUGAGCGGCGGACGGGUGAGUAACGCGUGGAUAACCUGCCUCACACAGGGGGAUAACAGUUAGAAAUGACUGCUAAUACCGCAUAAGCGCACGGUACCGCAUGGUACAGUGUGAAAAACUCCGGUGGUGUGAGAUGGAUCCGCGUCUGAUUAGGUAGUUGGUGAGGUAACGGCCCACCAAGCCGACGAUCAGUAGCCGACCUGAGAGGGUGACCGGCCACAUUGGGACUGAGACACGGCCCAAACUCCUACGGGAGGCAGCAGUGGGGAAUAUUGCACAAUGGGCGAAAGCCUGUUACAGCAACGCCGCGUGAGUGAAGAAGUAUCUCGGUAUGUAAAGCUCUAUCAGCAGGGAAGAAAAUGACGGUACCUGACUAAGAAGCCCCGGCUAACUACGUGCCAGCAGCCGCGGUAAUACGUAGGGGGCAAGCGUUAUCCGGAUUUACUGGGUGUAAAGGGAGCGCAGACGGCACUGCAAGUCUGAAGUGAAAGCCCGGGGCUCAACCCCGGGACUGCUUUGGAAACUGUAGAGCUAGAGUGCUGGAGAGGCAAGCGGAAUUCCUAGUGUAGCGGUGAAAUGCGUAGAUAUUAGGAAGAACACCAGUGGCGAAGGCGGCUUGCUGGACAGUAACUGACGUUCAGGCUCGAAAGCGUGGGGAGCAAACAGGACUAGAUACCCUGGUAGUCCACGCCGUAA